UAACUUCGUGCCAGCAGCCGCGGUAAUACGAAGGGACCUAGCGUAGUUCGGAAUUACUGGGCUUAAAGAGUUCGUAGGUGGUUGAAAAAGUUAGUGGUGAAAUCCCAGAGCUUAACUCUGGAACUGCCAUUAAAACUUUUCAGCUAGAGUAUGAUAGAGGAAAGCAGAAUUUCUAGUGUAGAGGUGAAAUUCGUAGAUAUUAGAAAGAAUACCAAUUGCGAAGGCAGCUUUCUGGAUCAUUACUGACACUGAGGAACGAAAGCAUGGGUAGCGAAGAGGAUUAGAUACCCUCGUAGUCCAUGCCGUAAACGAUGUGUGUUAGACGUUGGAAAUUUAUUUUCAGUGUCGCAGCGAAAGCGAUAAACACACCGCCUGGGGAGUACGACCGCAAGGUUAAAACUCAAAUGAAUUGACGGGGACCCGCACAAGUAGUGGAGCAUGUGGUUUAAUUCGAAGAUACGCGCUGAACCUUACCAACACUUGACAUGUUCGUCGCGACUCUAAGAGAUUAGAGUUUUCGGUUCGGCCGGACGAAACACAGGUGCUGCAUGGCUGUCGUCAGCUCGUGUCGUGAGAUGUUGGGUUAAGUCCCGCAACGAGCGCAACCCUCACUUUUAGUUGCCAUCAUUAAGUUGGGCACUCUGAAAGAACUGCCAGUGAUAAGUUGGAGGAAGGUGGGGAUGACGUCAAGUCCUCAUGGCCCUUACGUGUUGGGCUACACACGUGCUACAAUGGUAUCUACAACAGGAAGCAAGACUGCGAGGUCAAGCAAAUCCUUAAAAGAUACCUCAGUUCGGAUUGCACUCUGCAACUCGAGUGCAUGAAGCUGGAAUUACUAGUAAUCGUGGAUCAGCGUGCCACGGUGAAUGCGUUCCCGGGUCUUGUACACACCGCCCGUCACACCAUGGGAGUUGGUUCUACCUUAAGGCAAGGUUUCAAACCCUUG
rnacentral:rRNA from 1 species